rnacentral:rRNA from 1 species
UUCGCGCCAAUAAGCGUUUGAGAGAUGGAGUGACACAGUAGGAUAAGCUAACCGUACUGUUGGUUAUGUACGGCUAAGCAUUGAGGCAGUCUAAAUAGGCAAAUCCGUUUAGAUAAUGCUAGGAUGUGAUGGGGAAGCCCUUCGGGGCGAAGUAGCUAAUUUCGCACUGUCAAGAAAAGCUUCUAUCGAGUUUAAAGGCGCCCGUACCGUAAACCGACACAGGUGGGUGAGGAGAGUAUCCUAAGGCCAGCGAGAGAACUAUUGUUAAGGAACUCGGCAAAAUGACCCCGUAACUUAGGGAGAAGGGGUGCCUGUCUAUGACAGGCCGCAGAGAAUAGGCCCAAGCGACUGUUUACCAAAAACACAGGUUUCUGCUAAGUCGCAAGACGAUGUAUAGGAGCUGACGCCUGCCCGGUGCUGGAAGGUUAAGGGGAUCUGUUAGAGCAAUCGAAGCAGUGAACUUAAGCCCCAGUAAACGGCGGCCGUAACAAUAACGGUCCUAAGGUAGCGAAAUUCCUUGUCGGGUAAGUUCCGACCCGCACGAAAGGCGUAACGAUUUGGGCACUGUCUCAACAAUAGACUCGGUGAAAUUGUAAUCCCGGUGAAGAUGCCGGGUACCUGCGACAGGACGGAAAGACCCCAUGGAGCUUUACUGUAGCUUGACGUUGGAUCUUGGUACUACAUGUACAGGAUAGGUGGGAGACUAUGAAGCAUGGACGCCAGUCUGUGUGGAGUCAUCCUUGGGAUACCACCCUUGUAGUACUGGGAUCCUAACCAUAGGCCUUGAAUCAGGUCUUGGAACACCGUCAGGUGGGCAGUUUGACUGGGGCGGUCGCCUCCUAAAAAGUAACGGAGGCGCUCAAAGGUUUCCUCAGCACGGUCGGAAAUCGUGCGAAGAGUGUAAAGGCAAAAGGAAGCUUGAUUGCAAGACAUACAGGUCGAGCAAGGACGAAAGUCGGACUUAGUGAUCCGGUGGUACCGCAUGGAAGGGCCAUCGCUCAACGGAUAAAAGCUACCCUGGGGAUAACAGGCUUAUCUCCCCCAAGAGUCCACAUCGACGGGGAGGUUUGGCACCUCGAUGUCGGCUCAUCACAUCCUGGGGCUGUAGUAGGUCCCAAGGGAUGGGCUGUUCGCCCAUUAAAGUGGUACGCGAGCUGGGUUCAGAACGUCGUGAGACAGUUCGGUCCCUAUCCGUCGCAGGCGUAGGAAAUUUGAGAAGACCUGUCCUUAGUACGAGAGGACCGGGAUGGACGUACCUCUGGUGUACCAGUUGUUCUGCCAAGGGCAUGGCUGGGUAGCUAUGUACGGAAUGGAUAAGCGCUGAAAGCAUCUAAGCGCGAAGCCAACUUCAAGAUAAGAUUUCCCACCGUAAGGGUAAGACCCCAGGAAGACUACCUGGUUGAUAGGUCGAAGGUGUAAGUGCAGUAAUGUAUUUAGCUUAUCGAUACUAAUAGGUCGAGGACUUGAC